CGAGUCGAGCGUCUCUAGCUAUGUUGAGACGCGGCAUACGGCUCAGUAACACCUUGCUAACCUACCCUCAGGACGGGGACAAACCCGGGAAACUGGGGCUAAUAUCCGAUAGGCGAGGAAUCCUGGAAUGGGUCCUCACCCAAAGGACAUUGGAAACAUGCUUUCUCUGUCGCCUGGGGAUGGGGCCGCGACCGAUCAGGUUGUUGGUGAGGUAAUGGCUCACCAAGCCUUUAACCGGUACGGGCCGUGAGAGCGGUAGCCCGGAGAUGGGUACUGAGACAAGGACCCAGGCCCUACGGGGCGCAGCAGUCGCGAAAACUCCGCAAUGCACGAAAGUGUGACGGGGCUACCCCGAGUGCCGUCCGCUGAGGAUGGCUUUUCCUUGGUGUAACUAGCCGGGGGAAUAAGGAGAGGGCAAGACUGGUGUCAGCCGCCGCGGUAAUACCAGCUCUCCGAGUGGUAGGGAUGAUUAUUGGGCUUAAAGCGUCCGUAGCCGGCUUAGCAAGUUUCCUGUUAAGUUCAGCGACCUAAUCGUUGAGCCGCGGGAAAUACUACUAGGCUAGGAGGCGGGAGAGGUCGACGGUACUUCUGGGGUAGGGGUGAAAUCCUAUAAUCCCGGGAGGACCACCAGUGGCGAAGGCUGUCGACUAGAACGCGCUCGACGGUGAGGGACGAAAGCUGGGGGAGCGAACCGGAUUAGAUACCCGGGUAGUCCCAGCUGUAAACGAUGCGGGCUAGGUGUUGGGGUGGCUACG
rnacentral:rRNA from 1 species